AGUAAAUUGGUUAAGUUAGAAAGGGCGCACGGUGGAUGCCUUGGCACUAGGAGCCGAAGAAGGACGGGACUAACACCGAUAUGCUUUGGGGAGCUGUACGUAAGCGUUGAUCCAGAGAUUUCCGAAUGGGGGAACCCACUAUCUUUAGUCGGAUAGUAUCCUUACGUGAAUACAUAGCGUGAGGAAGGCAGACCCAGGGAACUGAAACAUCUAAGUACCUGGAGGAAGAGAAAGAAAAAUCGAUUUCCUGAGUAGCGGCGAGCGAAACGGAAAGAGCCCAAACCAAGAAGCUUGCUUCUUGGGGUUGUAGGACACUCUAUACGGAGUUACAAAAGAAAGUUAUAAAUGAAGCGGUCUGGAAAGGCCCGCCAAAGACGGUAACAGCCCGGUAGUUGAAAUAGCUUUCCCUCCAGAGUGGAUCCUGAGUACGGCGGAACACGUGAAAUUCCGUCGGAAUCCGGGAGGACCAU
rnacentral:rRNA from 1 species